rnacentral:rRNA from 1 species
UGGGGAAUUUUGGACAAUGGGGGCAACCCUGAUCCAGCCAUGCCGCGUGAGUGAAGAAGGCCUUCGGGUUGUAAAGCUCUUUCGGCGGGGACGAAACGGUUCGUGACAACACCACGGACUAAUGACGGUACCCGCAUAAGAAGCACCGGCUAACUACGUGCCAGCAGCCGCGGUAAUACGUAGGGUGCAGGCGUUAAUCGGAAUUACUGGGCGUAAAGCGUGCGCAGGCGGUUUGUUAAGACAGGUGUGAAAUCCCCGGGCUUAACCUGGGAAUUGCGCUUGUAACUGGCAGGCUAGAGUGUGGCAGAGGGGGGUGGAAUUCCACGUGUAGCAGUGAAAUGCGUAGAUAUGUGGAGGAACACCGAUGGCGAAGGCAGCCCCCUGGGUUAACACUGACGCUCAUGCACGAAAGCGUGGGGAGCAAACAGGAUUAGAUACCCUUGUAGUCCCUGAGCGGGCUGGCAAGGCGCAU